rnacentral:tRNA from 1 species
GGGGACGUAGCUCAGCCUGGUAGAGCAGCGGCCUUUUAAGCCGCGUGUCGUGGGUUCAAAUCCCAUCGUCCUCG